rnacentral:rRNA from 1 species
GGAGAUAGCUCGUACUCCCCGAAAUGCAUUUAGGUGCAGCGUCGUAUUAUAGCUUGGUGGAGGUAGAGCGACUGGUUGGUUGAGCGGGACUACAAUCUUAGCAAUGUCAGCCAAACUCCGAAUGCCACUAAUUGUGUUGUACGGCAGUGAGACUGUGGGGGAUAAGCUUCAUAGUCGAGAGGGAAACAGCCCAGAUCGCCGGUUAAGGCCCCUAAGGGUGUACUAAGUGGAAAAGGAUGUGGGAUCGCGAAGACAGCCAGGAGGUUGGCUUAGAAGCAGCCAUCCUUGAAAGAGUGCGU